GACGAACGCUGGCGGCGUGCCUAACACAUGCAAGUCGAGCGGGAAGCUUUUAAUUGAGACUUCGGUUGAUUUUAGAAGUGGAGAGCGGCGACGGGUGAGUAACGCGUGAGUAACCUGCCCAUAAGAGGGGGAUAACAAUCGGAAACGGUUGCUAAUACCGCAUAACAUAUACGAAUCGCAUGGUUUGUAUAUCAAAGAUUUAUCGCUUAUGGAUGGACUCGCGUCCAAUUAGCUAGUAGGCGGGGUAACGGCCCACCAAGCCGACGAUCAGUAGCCGGACUGAGAGGUUGAACGGCCACAUUGGAACUGAGAUACGGUCCAGACUCCUACGGGAGGCAGCAGUGGGGAAUAUUGGGCAAUGGGGGAAACCCUGACCCAGCAACGCCGCGUGAAGGAAGAAGGCCUUCGGGUUGUAAACUUCUUUUACCAGGGACGAAGAACGUGACGGUACCUGGAGAAAAGCAACGGCUAACUACGUG
rnacentral:rRNA from 1 species